rnacentral:rRNA from 1 species
AGGGUGCAGGGCGGAUGCCUUGGCACUAGGAGCCGAUGAAGGACGUGAUAAGCUGCGAUAAGCUUCGGGGAGUUGCACGUAAACUUUGAUCCGAAGAUUUCCGAAUGAGGAAACUCACUUAGAGUAAUGUCUAAGUAUCAUUAAGUGAAUACAUAGCUUAAUGAGGGGAACUCAGGGAACUGAAACAUCUAAGUACCUGAAGGAAGAGAAAGAAAUUCGAUUCCGUAAGUAGCGGCGAGCGAACGCGGAUUAGCCCAAACCAAUAAAGUUUUCUUUAUUGGGGUUGCGGACAUAUCAUAACGAAGAGGUAUCGUAAUUGAAGAGGUUUGGAAAGACCCACCACAGAAGGUAAUAGUCCUGUAUGUUAAACGAGAAGACUUCAGAUAUGAUCCAGAGUACCACGGGACACGUGAAACCCUGUGGGAAGCAGGAGGGACCACCCUCCAAGGCUAAAUACUACCUAGUGACCGAUAGCGUAUAGUACCGUGAGGGAAAGGUGAAAAGAACCCCGGGAGGGGAGUGAAAUAGAACCUGAAACCCUGCACUUACAAGCUGUGGAAGCACAUUUCUUGUGUGACCGCGUACUUUUUGUAGAACGGGCCAACGAGUUACGUUAAGUAGCAAGGUUAAGCACUUAAGGUGCGGAGCCGUAGCGAAAGCGAGUUUUAACUGAGCGUUCAGUUACUUGACGUAGACCCGAAACCGGGCGACCUACCCAUGAGCAGGAUGAAGCGAAAGUAAAAUUUCGUGGAGGUCCGAACCCACGAGCGUUGAAAAGCUCGGGGAUGACUUGUGGGUAGCGGUGAAAUUCCAAUCGAGCCCGGAGAUAGCUGGUUCUCCCCGAAAUAGCUUUAGGGCUAGCCUCAAGGUGAGAGAUACGGAGGUAGAGCACUGAAUGUCCUAGGGGGUAUUGCACCUACCGAAGACUAUCAAACUCCGAAUGCCGUCAUCUUAUACUUGGGAGUCAGACUGUGGGUGAUAAGAUUCAUAGUCGAAAGGGCAACAGCCCAGAUCGUCAGCUAAGGUCCCUAAAUGUAAGUUAAGUGGUAAAGGAUGUGGGAUUGCACAGACAACCAGGAUGUUGGCUUAGAAGCAGCCACUCAUUCAAAGAGUGCGUAAUAGCUCACUGGUCGAGUGAUCCUGCGCCGAAGAUUUCCGGGGCUAAAACUUACUACCGAAGCUACGGCAUCAGUAAUGAUGGGUAGGGGAGCUUCCCAUACGGGUUGAAGCAUGACCGUAAGGACAUGUGGACAGUAUGGGAGUGAGAAUGUUGGCAUGAGUAGCGAGAUGUGGGUGAGAAUCCCACAGGCCGUAAACCCAAGGUUUCCAGGGGAAGGUUCGUCCGCCCUGGGUUAGUCGGGACCUAAGCUGAGGCCGAAAGGCGUAGGUGAUGGACAACAGGUUGAUAUUCCUGUACUACCGAUAACCGUUUGAGAGAAGGGAUGACACAGUAGGAUAAGCUAAGCACACUGUUGGUUAUGUGUGCCCAAGCAUUGAGGCAGUCAAAGUAGGCAAAUCCGCUUUGAUAAUGCUGGGAUGUGAUGGGGAGCGAAAUUUAGUAGCGAAGUAGCUGAUUUCACACUGUCAAGAAAAGUCUCUAUCGAGGUUAAAGGUACCCGUACCGCAAACCGACACAGGUGGGUGAGGAGAGUAUCCUAAGGCCAGCGAGAGAACUGUUGUUAAGGAACUCGGCAAAAUGACCCCGUAACUUAGGGAUAAGGGGUGCCACCAUCAGGUGGCCGCAGAGAAUAGGCCCAAGCGACUGUUUACCAAAAACAUAGGUUUCUGCUAAGUCGCAAGACGAUGUAUAGGAGCUGACGCCUGCCCGGUGCUGGAAGGUUAAGGGGAUCUGUUAGAGCAAUCGAAGCAGUGAACUUAAGCCCCAGUAAACGGCGGCCGUAACUAUAACGGUCCUAAGGUAGCGAAAUUCCUUGUCGGGUAAGUUCCGACCCGCACGAAAGGCGUAACGAUUUGGGCACUGUCUCAACAACAGACUCGGUGAAAUUGUAAUUCCGGUGAAGAUGCCGGAUACCUGCGACAGGACGGAAAGACCCCAUGGAGCUUUACUGUAGCUUGACAUUGGGUCUUGGUACUACAUGUACAGGAUAGGUGGGAGGCUUUGAAACCAGGACGCCAGUUUUGGCGGAGCCAUCCUUGGGAUACCACCCUUGUAGUACUGGGACUCUAACCAUAGGCCAUGAAUCUGGUCUUGGGACACUGUC